GGGUUGUGAGGUUAAGCGACUAAGCGUACACGGUGGAUGCCCUGGCAGUCAGAGGCGAUGAAGGACGUGCUAAUCUGCGAUAAGCGUCGGUAAGGUGAUAUGAACCGUUAUAACCGGCGAUUUCCGAAUGGGGAAACCCAGUGUGAUUCGUCACACUAUCAUUAACUGAAUCCAUAGGUUAAUGAGGCGAACCGGGGGAACUGAAACAUCUAAGUACCCCGAGGAAAAGAAAUCAACCGAGAUUCCCCCAGUAGCGGCGAGCGAACGGGGAGCAGCCCAGAGCCUGAAUCAGUGUGUGUGUUAGUGGAAGCGUCUGGAAAGGCGYGCGAUACAGGGUGACAGCCCCGUACACAAAAAUGCACAURCUGUGAGCUCGAUGAGUAGGGCGGGACACGUGGUAUCCUGUCUGAAUAUGGGGGGACCAUCCUCCAAGGCUAAAUACUCCUGACUGACCGAUAGUGAACCAGUACCGUGAGGGAAAGGCGAAAAGAACCCCGGCGAGGGGAGUGAAAAAGAACCUGAAACCGUGUACGUACAAGCAGUGGGAGCACGCUUAGGCGUGUGACUGCGUACCUUUUGUAUAAUGGGUCAGCGACUUAUAUUCUGUAGCAAGGUUAACCGAAUAGGGGAGCCGAAGGGAAACCGAGUCUUAACUGGGCGUUAAGUUGCAGGGUAUAGACCCGAAACCCGGUGAUCUAGCCAUGGGCAGGUUGAAGGUUGGGUAACACUAACUGGAGGACCGAACCGACUAAUGUUGAAAAAUUAGCGGAUGACUUGUGGCUGGGGGUGAAAGGCCAAUCAAACCGGGAGAUAGCUGGUUCUCCCCGAAAGCUAUUUAGGUAGCGCCUCGUGAAUUCAUCUCCGGGGGUAGAGCACUGUUUCGGCAAGGGGGUCAUCCCGACUUACCAACCCGAUGCAAACUGCGAAUACCGGAGAAUGUUAUCACGGGAGACACACGGCGGGUGCUAACGUCCGUCGUGAAGAGGGAAACAACCCAGACCGCCAGCUAAGGUCCCAAAGUCAUGGUUAAGUGGGAAACGAUGUGGGAAGGCCCAGACAGCCAGGAUGUUGGCUUAGAAGCAGCCAUCAUUUAAAGAAAGCGUAAUAGCUCACUGGUCGAGUCGGCCUGCGCGGAAGAUGUAACGGGGCUAAACCAUGCACCGAAGCUGCGGCAGCGACRCUUAUGYGUUGUUGGGUAGGGGAGCGUUCUGUAAGCCUGYGAAGGUGURCUGUGAGGYAUGCUGGAGGUAUCAGAAGUGCGAAUGCUGACAUAAGUAACGAUAAAGCGGGUGAAAAGCCCGCUCGCCGGAAGACCAAGGGUUCCUGUCCAACGUUAAUCGGGGCAGGGUGAGUCGACCCCUAAGGCGAGGCCGAAAGGCGUAGUCGAUGGGAAACAGGUUAAUAUUCCUGUACUUGGUGUUACUGCGAAGGGGGGACGGAGAAGGCUAUGUUGGCCGGGCGACGGUUGUCCCGGUUUAAGCGUGUAGGCUGGUUUUCCAGGCAAAUCCGGAAAAYYAAGGCUGAGGCGUGAUGACGAGGCACUACGGUGCUGAAGCAACAAAUGCCCUGCUUCCAGGAAAAGCCUCUAAGCAUCAGGUAACAUCAAAUCGUACCCCAAACCGACACAGGUGGUCAGGUAGAGAAUACCAAGGCGCUUGAGAGAACUCGGGUGAAGGAACUAGGCAAAAUGGUGCCGUAACUUCGGGAGAAGGCACGCUGAUAUGUAGGUGAAGUCCCUCGCGGAUGGAGCUGAAAUCAGUCGAAGAUACCAGCUGGCUGCAACUGUUUAUUAAAAACACAGCACUGUGCAAACACGAAAGUGGACGUAUACGGUGUGACGCCUGCCCGGUGCCGGAAGGUUAAUUGAUGGGGUYAGCGCAAGCGAAGCUCUUGAUCGAAGCCCCGGUAAACGGCGGCCGUAACUAUAACGGUCCUAAGGUAGCGAAAUUCCUUGUCGGGUAAGUUCCGACCUGCACGAAUGGCGUAAUGAUGGCCAGGCUGUCUCCACCCGAGACUCAGUGAAAUUGAACUCGCUGUGAAGAUGCAGUGUACCCGCGGCAAGACGGAAAGACCCCGUGAACCUUUACUAUAGCUUGACACUGAACAUUGAGCCUUGAUGUGUAGGAUAGGUGGGAGGCUUKGAAGUGUGGACGCCAGUCUGCAUGGAGCCGACCUUGAAAUACCACCCUUUAAUGUUUGAUGUUCUAACGUUGACCCGUAAUCCGGGUUGCGGACAGUGUCUGGUGGGUAGUUUGACUGGGGCGGUCUCCUCCUAAAGAGUAACGGAGGAGCACGAAGGUUGGCUAAUCCUGGUCGGACAUCAGGAGGUUAGUGCAAUGGCAUAAGCCAGCUUGACUGCGAGCGUGACGGCGCGAGCAGGUGCGAAAGCAGGUCAUAGUGAUCCGGUGGUUCUGAAUGGAAGGGCCAUCGCUCAACGGAUAAAAGGUACUCCGGGGAUAACAGGCUGAUACCGCCCAAGAGUUCAUAUCGACGGCGGUGUUUGGCACCUCGAUGUCGGCUCAUCACAUCCUGGGGCUGAAGUAGGUCCCAAGGGUAUGGCUGUUCGCCAUUUAAAGUGGUACGCGAGCUGGGUUUAGAACGUCGUGAGACAGUUCGGUCCCUAUCUGCCGUGGGCGCUGGAGAACUGAGGGGGGCUGCUCCUAGUACGAGAGGACCGGAGUGGACGCAUCACUGGUGUUCGGGUUGUCAUGCCAAUGGCACUGCCCGGUAGCUAAAUGCGGAAGAGAUAAGUGCUGAAAGCAUCUAAGCACGAAACUUGCCCCGAGAUGAGUUCUCCCUGACUCCUUGAGAGUCCUGAAGGAACGUUGAAGACGACGACGUUGAUAGGCCGGGUGUGUAAGCGCAGCGAUGCGUUGAGCUAACCGGUACUAAUGAACCGUGAGGCUUAACCUUACAACGCCGAAGSUGUU
rnacentral:rRNA from 1 species